GCCAAAAAUCUAGCCCAACAAACACGAAUAUCACCAAACUAACUAUCUUCUUUAAAUAAAACAUUCUUACAUCUUAGUAAAGGCGAUUGAAAAUUUAUUUGGAGCUAUAACAAUAGUACCGCAAGGGAACGAUGAAAUACCUAAUGAAAAAUUUUAAGCAAUAAAAAGUAAAGAUUCCUCCUUGUACCUUUUGCAUCAUGGUUUAACUAGUCUAAUCAAGCAAAAAGCACUUUAAGUUUGACUUCCCGAAACUAAGUGAGCUACUUCAGGGCAGCUUUUAGAGCAAACCCGUCUCUGUAGCAAAAGAGUGGGACGACCCCCAAGUAGCGGUGACAGACCUAACGAACUUAGUGAUAGCUGGUUACUCAAGAAACGGAUCUAAGUCCAACCUGAAUUUCCUACCCUAGUUUAACAAAACAAACAUUUUUAAUUCAGAGUAAUUCAAAUAAGGUACAGCCUAUUUGAAACAGGACACAACCCAGACUAAUGGAUACCAACGGCUUCUAAUACAACUAAGUAGGCCUAAAAGCAGCCAUCUUUAGAAUAGCGUCAAAGCUUAAUUGUCACAACGCCUAAUUACUUCAUUCUUAUAUCAAUCCUCUACCCCUAUUGAGUAAUUCUAUACUUCUAUAGAAAAUUUUAUGUUAAAACUAGUAACAAGAAGAAGAUUCUUCUCUUAAAUGUAAGUGUACAUCAGAAAGGACAAACCACUGAUAUUUAACGUAAGUGAGAUCAGAGUAGAAACUUAACAAGAAAAAUCUACUACAACCUACGUUAACCUAACACAAGAGCAUUACAAGAAAGAUUAAAAGAAAAAGAAGGAACUCGGCAAACAUUAACCCCGCCUGUUUACCAAAAACAUCGCCUCUUGAGUCUUAUAAGAGGUCCAGCCUGCCCAGUGACCAUGUUCAACGGCCGCGGUAUCCUAACCGUGCGAAGGUAGCGUAAUCACUUGUUCUUUAAAUGAGGACUAGUAUGAAUGGCACCACGAGGGUUAUACUGUCUCCUUUUUCUAAUCAGUGAAACUAAUCUCCCCGUGAAGAAGCGGGGAUAGCCCUAUAAGACGAGAAGACCCUAUGGAGCUUAAAACAACAUAGCACUUACCUCAUAAACUAUAAAUUCCCGAAUACUCGAUCCCCAGGUAAGCUACCUAUAAGUUUUUGGUUGGGGUGACCGCGGAGCAUAACACAACCUCCACAUUGAAAGAAUCUAUUCUUAGUCAAGAUCUACAAAUCUAAACAUCAGUAUUCUGACAUCUAUUGACCCAAUACAAUUGAACAACGAACCAAGUUACCCUAGGGAUAACAGCGCAAUCCACUUCAAGAGCCCCUAUCGACAAGUGGGUUUACGACCUCGAUGUUGGAUCAGGGUAUCCCAGUGGUGCAGCCGCUACUAAAGGUUCGUUUGUUCAACGAUUAAAACC
rnacentral:rRNA from 1 species